ensembl:lncRNA
CCCUGUAGCCAGGGCUUGGGCCUGUCCUUGCGUGGCCGCCUGUUCUGCUGGCGGCGUGGCAGCCCUGUAGUCGGGGUGUGUGUCCCAAGCUUAGGAGCCCUCUGUCCCUGAGCAGCCCGCCGCCCGCCCUGUACUCAGGUGUGGGGAGGCUGCAGCGUUGCAGCCGGCUGCUUUAGCCAUCCAGCUGGUGGGAAUGACCCCUCCCUGUCCCGUCAGAGGGUGCAGGUUGAGGUGCUGCUUGCGUGUGGGGUGACCUCCCCGCUCGGUGGGUCGAGGCUGCUCCCUGGGUUCCCCAAGAGAAGACGUUGGUGAUGUUCUGCUGCUGCCGGGCGGGCCCGCCUGUAGCUCAGGCGUUGGCGGGAGCCUCGUGCUCCGCGGGGCUUCUUGGAGAGGGUGAGGUGCGGGGGUACGGUCCUGUAGGCAGGGCUGUGCGUGCCCCCCGUGUGUGCUUGGUGAGCUGUGUUCCGAGAGACCCCCCCCCCCCGCCCGUACUCGGGUGGGAAUGUGGCCCCGGCCUUUCAGAGGCACGGGGCUGCGAGGUGUGGGCUUGGGCUUGCGCCCUCCCUGGAAGUUGAGGCUGGGAUCCCGACUGCGGCCUUUGGCCGUGCCGCCCCGCUGCCUGGCUGCUGAGAGUUGUUCCUGCCGCUGGGGGGGAAACCGAGCUCUGUGGCUCCAGGGGUGUCGUCCACCCGCCUGUAAUCAGGGUCUGGGUGCGCGAGCGUUUGUGCUCUGCUGGCAGCCUGUGUGGGGUGACCGCCCCGUUAGCGGGGUGUGGGUCGAGGUGCCCCGGACUGGGAGAGAAGGAGCCUCUCCCGGCCGUAGGGAUGGGGGCUGCCCUGUAAGUCAGGGAGCAACCAUGCCCGGGAGUCCCAGGCCCUUUGCGUUGGAGGCAGUGGCUGGGGGCCCCCUGUAAGCAGGGAAGCUGGCUCUUUGGCCGCUGCUUUUUGUACGCCCAGCCCCAUUUGCCCAGCCUGCCCGCCUCUGUGAUCCCCCGCAGCACCGGCUGGAAGUCCGCCGCGCGUCAGUGAGGAGCUGCUGCAGAAGAAAGAAGAAGCAGCGGCGUGGGGACCUGGGCUUCAAAUCAAACCUCAGUUAUGAGUGACAGUAGAAGAAAAAAAAAACCGCUUGCAGCACAAGCGAAAGAAGUUGUAGUGGAAAUGCUGAGUCACGGCUUGAGAUUUUCC